AUAGCGUAUAUUAAAGUUGUUGCAGUUAAAAAGCUCGUAGUUGAACCUUGGGCCUGGCUGGCCGGUCCGUCUCAUCGCGUGUACUGGUCCGGCUGGGCCUUUCCUUCUGGCUAGGCACAUGUCCUUUACUGGGUGUGUGUCCGAACCAGGACUUUUACUUUGAAAAAAUUAGAGUGUUCAAAGCAGGCAUAUGCUCGAAUACAUUAGCAUGGAAUAAUAGAAUAGGACGUGUGGUUCUAUUUUGUUGGUUUCUAGGACCAUCGUAAUGAUUAAUAGGGAUAGUCGGGGGCAUCAGUAUUCAAUCGUCAGAGGUGAAAUUCUUGGAUCGAUUGAAGACUAACUACUG
rnacentral:rRNA from 1 species